CCCCUCUCAGGAUCACACCUGGAGAGUUUCCAGGGCUCUACCAGUCUCGGCUAUGGGAGGGAGAGUCAAGCAGAGGCCUACCCAUUCCAGUCCUAGCAUGGGUAGUGGCUAGCGAGUGGACGGCGAUCUGCUGCAAGU
rnacentral:snoRNA from 1 species